rnacentral:tRNA from 1 species
CUGGCGGGUACGGCGCCGGGCGCCAGGGGGCCGUCACUCCUGGUGACGGCGGGCGGGGUACGGGGCCCCGCCCGGCGGUCC